AACCAAGAGUCAAUUUCUGUGACAUAGACAGUGCCAUCUUCUUCUUCUCACCACCGCUGUCACCCUCUGAUGAUCCUCCUUCUCCUUCGUUAUCCCGAUCACCGCCGCCGCCUCCUCGUCCUCCGCUAUUAUCACCACCUCCACCGCCGCCGCUUCCACCUAAAUCCCCGUAACUGUCACCACCGCCUCCAAUAUCAGGUCCAAUCUCAAUCCCUUCCGUUGACAAAUCAAUGUUAUCGUUUAAAAUAGUAGGCGCUUCGAAACCCGAAGAGACAGCCCUAACAGCCGUUACGGGCUUCAAAUUCCUACCAGAAGAAACAACAAAUCUCCGGUAUCCCGUCGAAUAUUGCUGCAGCCUUAUUGCCGUUAAAGGAGUCGUGUAAGUUCGAAAUCCGAACUUGGAAGGCUCCAGAAGAAGCAGCGAUGACUGUGACGCUACACCUAAAACCGACUCAGCCAUUUCGGUUCUUAUGACUUGUUUUCACGUUCACCCAUUUUUCUUACUCUUUCUUUUUUCCCCGGAUUUUCCCUGUCUAGAAUUUGUUCUACAAAGUUCUGGUACACAAAAAAAGAUUAACAGCCCGGGCCAUGUACGUUGAAUAAGCUACAUUUCUAGCAAACAGAAUAUGGGAAAGUGAAAUAGCAAGAAGAAUUAAAUCAACCAAGAAAAUAUUACCCAGCCCUAUAGCCGACGCAUAAACUGGAUUUGUAGGAAGCUGUGUAUGAACAUAAUACAAUACCGAGGCAGACAGCCCUCCAGCCAAAAGUGACUUCUGGCUACCGCUCUUCAUAUAGCCCAUAAGACCACCCACUGCACAACCAAACCACAACCAUGUAAAUACUAAAUAUUAGGUGAGUAAGAGCUCAUAUGAUCAAAUGGCAUCAAUAACAGAUAAACAACCAAUUAAUUAAACCAAAAAUAGCCUAAAACUAAGCUCCAACAAAAAUAUAAAAUAAUAAUCGAUUCAAUCAUGUACGAAGAAAUGUGUCAGAUGUCAGUUAUCUGUCAUAUGAUCUUGAAGAUCGAAAGAACACUCUAUCUUAUAAUAAAAAAUAUAUAGAAUUUGUUCUCAAUCAAACAAAGAUCUCAACAUUAUUUCAAGUUUGUUGAAGGUAGUUCACGCAUAUAGAAAUUGCCUAAAGCCACAUUCUUUAAUUUCUAAAAUCACACCUUAAAAGAAAUUCAAAGGUCAGAUCUUUAUUUGUAAUUAAAAGAGCAUAAGAAAUGGCAAGAGAGAUUUACUUCCAACAAGUGCAGCAUAACCAAGAGUCAAUUUCUGUGACAUAGACAGUGCCAUCUUCUUCUUCUCACCACCGCUGUCACCCUCUGAUGAUCCUCCUUCUCCUUCGUUAUCCCGAUCACCGCCGCCGCCUCCUCGUCCUCCGCUAUUAUCACCACCUCCACCGCCGCCGCUUCCACCUAAAUCCCCGUAACUGUCACCACCGCCUCCAAUAUCAGGUCCAAUCUCAAUCCCUUCCGUUGACAAAUCAAUGUUAUCGUUUAAAAUAGUAGGCGCUUCGAAACCCGAAGAGACAGCCCUAACAGCCGUUACGGGCUUCAAAUUCCUACCAGAAGAAACAACAAAUCUCCGGUAUCCCGUCGAAUAUUGCUGCAGCCUUAUUGCCGUUAAAGGAGUCGUGUAAGUUCGAAAUCCGAACUUGGAAGGCUCCAGAAGAAGCAGCGAUGACUGUGACGCUACACCUAAAACCGAC
rnacentral:lncRNA from 1 species